UACGUAGGGUGCGAGCGUUAAUCGGAAUUACUGGGCGUAAAGCGUGCGCAGGCUGUUUUGUAAGUCAGAUGUGAAAUCCCUGGGCUCAACCUAGGAACUGCGUUUGAAACUACAAGGCUAGAGUGUAGCAGAGGGGGGUAGAGUUCCACGUGUAGCAGUGAAAUGCGUAGAGAUGUGGAGGAAUACCAAUGGCGAAGGCAGCCCCCUGGGUUAACACUGACGCUCAUGC
rnacentral:rRNA from 1 species